GGGGAUUUAGCUCAGUGGUAGAGAGCUUGCCUAGCAAGCACAAGGCCCUGGGUUCGAUCCCCAGCUCCG
rfam:Rattus norvegicus chromosome 4, whole genome shotgun sequence.